GGGUGGGGGGGGUUCUAUAAUGCAGUAGAACGCUGAAGAGAGGAGCUUGCUCUUCUUGGAUGAGUUGCGAACGGGUGAGUAACGCGUAGGUAACCUGCCUUGUAGCGGGGGAUAACUAUUGGAAACGAUAGCUAAUACCGCAUAACAAUGGAUGACACAUGUCAUUUAUUUGAAAGGGGCAAUUGCUCCACUACAAGAUGGACCUGCGUUGUAUUAGCUAGUAGGUGAGGUAAUGGCUCACCUAGGCGACGAUACAUAGCCGACCUGAGAGGGUGAUCGGCCACACUGGGACUGAGACACGGCCCAGACUCCUACGGGAGGCAGCAGUAGGGAAUCUUCGGCAAUGGGGGCAACCCUGACCGAGCAACGCCGCGUGAGUGAAGAAGGUUUUCGGAUCGUAAAGCUCUGUUGUAAGUCAAGAACGGGUGUGAGAGUGGAAAGUUCACACUGUGACGGUAGCUUACCAGAAAGGGACGGCUAACUACGUGCCAGCAGCCGCGGUAAUACGUAGGUCCCGAGCGUUGUCCGGAUUUAUUGGGCGUAAAGCGAGCGCAGGCGGUUUGAUAAGUCUGAAGUUAAAGGCUGUGGCUCAACCAUAGUUCGCUUUGGAAACUGUCAAACUUGAGUGCAGAAGGGGAGAGUGGAAUUCCAUGUGUAGCGGUGAAAUGCGUAGAUAUAUGGAGGAACACCGGUGGCGAAAGCGGCUCUCUGGUCUGUAACUGACGCUGAGGCUCGAAAGCGUGGGGAGCGAACAGGAUUAGAUACCCUGGUAGUCCACGCCGUAAACGAUGAGUGCUAGGUGUUGGAUCCUUUCCGGGAUUCAGUGCCGCAGCUAACGCAUUAAGCACUCCGCCUGGGGAGUACGACCGCAAGGUUGAAACUCAAAGGAAUUGACGGGGGCCCGCACAAGCGGUGGAGCAUGUGGUUUAAUUCGAAGCAACGCGAAGAACCUUACCAGGUCUUGACAUCCCGAUGCUAUUUCUAGAGAUAGAAAGUUACUUCGGUACAUCGGUGACAGGUGGUGCAUGGUUGUCGUCAGCUCGUGUCGUGAGAUGUUGGGUUAAGUCCCGCAACGAGCGCAACCCCUAUUGUUAGUUGCCAUCAUUCAGUUGGGCACUCUAGCGAGACUGCCGGUAAUAAACCGGAGGAAGGUGGGGAUGACGUCAAAUCAUCAUGCCCCUUAUGACCUGGGCUACACACGUGCUACAAUGGUUGGUACAACGAGUUGCGAGUCGGUGACGGCGAGCUAAUCUCUUAAAGCCAAUCUCAGUUCGGAUUGUAGGCUGCAACUCGCCUACAUGAAGUCGGAAUCGCUAGUAAUCGCGGAUCAGCACGCCGCGGUGAAUACGUUCCCGGGCCUUGUACACACCGCCCGUCACACCACGAGAGUUUGUAACACCCGAAGUCGGUGAGGUAACCUUUGGAGCCAGCCCGCUAAGGUUGAAACU
rnacentral:rRNA from 1 species